AUCCCAGAUAAACAUUUCUGUGUUUACCUGAUUCAUGGGAGGCAGAUAUUAAGAUUGGUAGUUCGCUGAUAACACUCUUUCUAUCUCAAGGAGUGGUUUUAAUAGUAGCUCACCAAACAUGU